GUCGCGACAUUCGAAGAAACGCUCUAUUGUUCCAAGUUCGUUAACAACUACGUUCGUUUGAUUAUAGCGCCUGACGCACUCAUCGCGGUCGAUGGUUAAGCAAUUACUCGAGCGCGAGAGCAAGCAGGACUCGGGAGUUUCCGUCCAGGAUCGGGACGGAUCGGCCACGCGAGCAACACGCGAUCGGUGACCUGGCUGGACCAGUCCUGAAGAUCUUCCACGUAGGUCUGGUGGGGAAAACAACCGGCCUGGUCGCCCUCGUGCGUGUGAUUCCACGCUUACGGGUGUACGUGUCCGCUACUUUUUUACCACGUAGCUGCCGGAGAAACCGGAGAACGAGGGGUCCAGAGAUAAGGACGCGGAUGGUAGCAAGAAGGACGGAGACCUGUUCUCCAAGACGCCGGGAGGCUUGACCCCGCCAAGAAUCUCGCAUCUGCUCUGUCUCUCUCUCCUUUCUCAACCUGCCGCUGCUGCUGCUCAGGGACUAAUUUACCGACUCCGAGAGUCGGUUCUACCUGGCAGCUUCGCAACGUCCACGGAUAUGGGAACAACGUGGUACUUGCGCGCCGAUGUGUCGGGGUUCGGGGGAGAUGCCUGGAUUUAUGUCUCGGAGAAGUUGUAAGGUCGGAGGUGGGAGUUUCGUGUGCGCUCAUUGGCAAGAUUUGCUGGCGUUUUGUGCAUGGAACACGCCACGCGAUAUGCCCCCACCCUAAUUAAUCAUCGCUGUACCGAGCAUUUUUCGUUACUCGGACUACCAUCCUCGGGGUUAAUAAUGCGAUCACCCCGUUAGAUUCCACAGCUUCUCUCAGACGCGACAAUCGCGUUCCCUUUGUUAAUUCCCAAAGUUCUUCUUUUCUUUUCGCGUCGAAGCAAUCCUGGUAAGAGGCGCCAGCCGACGCGGCGCGUCUUUUGUUCCCGAAUAAAGGCUACUCCGUCGACUUAAACUAAUUAAAGAAACGGGUCCGUCGGACGCGUUACUCGGUUCCUACGAACAAAUGUUUACGUUUGUACGAUCCGAUACUGUAUCCGGUCAAAGAAAGCGUCUGCUCCUUUUGAGCUUUUCUACCCGUUGUUUCUCCGCUCAUUCGAGUUCUUCGACCGGAUCGCGAACGAGCGCGAGGAAAGAAAGCACGAAAAGGAAAAAAUGCAGAAAGAAAACGGUCGCGCUAUUCAGUCGGUCCGCGUCUCUGAACUCUGAACUGAAUAAGUACGGCGACGACGGACGGGAGCUUCUCUUUAAUUCAUUAAAACUUUACGCAUGACGUUUUAGAUAUUUAUCUCGGCAACCCCUUUUAUCCUCUAUAACUCCGCGUUCUUUGAGUCUGCCUCGGAGGCUCGACUACACUUUUAUUCCUGCACCCGCGGUUUCGUUCUCUUUUUCUCCACCUCUUCCACGAUCCUCCAUCCUAUUCCGGCUGUUUCUCUUUCGCGCCGUGUUUUACUCUUAUUCUUGCCCACUCUUUUUCGCGCUCCUCUUUUCUCCUCGUAGUUCACCGUCUCCCGUUCUCCGCUACCCAUUUCCAGCGCCGUACUAUUCUAUAGGCAAACAAGUCAUCUGCCUAGGGCCCUGAUCAAAGGGGGCCUCUUACGCGAAUGUUUCGGAAAUACGUGCACAAUAUAAGGAGAAUGACGGCUAUUGUACGCGGGGAGAAUAAGCUUUUUCAUUCGCGAAUAUUGGUACGUCGUAGCGAAAUUGUAAGGGAUAUUUGCACUUAUGUGCACGUUUCCUUUCAUAUCAAAAUGAUUAUUACUUUCGAUCACAAUACUUUGAGAAAUUAACAAAUGUAACAUAUUAAGGGGGAAAAAUAGAUUUAGGACUACGUUUUUUAACUUCUAAAAAAUUACAAUAUUUACUUGAAUAUAUGUAUAUAACGGUUUCAAAGUUUCGUUAAAUUAUAUACGUUCUUUUCUUUCUAAACAAAAUUCAUGCAAAUCGCUAAAAAACACGUAAUCCAAAACCAAUGUCUCCACUUAAAGUGAGACAGCAUACUUGUACUUGCUGCCACCUUGUCGUUCAAAUGCAAGCUCCAUUCGUCGAUUGACCGUUACAAGUUUGCGACAUUCUGAAGAAAGGAGGAACGAGGAUUCCCAUCACGGAUCAACGAAGUCGUAAAGGAAACAAGAAUGCUCGCAGCUUCCAGGAUGAACUUGAACCGUGUUUACUCCGGGGUUAGAUACGUUCUAAUGAUGCUGUCUGGCGCGGAGGUAGCAGAUGCAGUGUUGGCUCGUUACGAACCGUGUAUGUAUCCGUGGGCUCGACGAUGGAAACGGCGAAAACGGGGAAGCUGCGGGGAACUUUCAGGUGCCCCGUCUCUUCGCUGAGGUUCUACGUCAAUAGUGUGUAAGCUUCUUGGCUUAUAAGAGUCUACUUGGAGUAGAACGGCGCACAUCGGUGGUGCUCGAGAGGGACACUUGGAGUAUUAAGGGUUAAGAUACAAUUUUUCUUUCGCUUCCGUCGUCGUGUACAAUAAUACAGAAGCACUCGAGAAAUACAAAACAGUUUUCAUCCGUGGAAUGGUGCCAAUCGUGUCGCUGGAAGAAACUCGAACGGCCCGUGACAGACUGGAUCCAGAUUUGAUCCCACCCCUGGACCUGGCUCAAUCGGCUCAUGGACUUACACGGAUUACUAUCCACGGUUUUGAGGAACGUCAGCCGUUCCAGCCGGAAGUAUUACUCUCCCUCCUCCAAAAAAAAGUAAUAUGUAUGUAGAAUCUGAAGCAGCCUCGAAGGAAGGAUUAAGAGGGGUAAUUGGCUGCCGCGCACUGGUACCAUAAAAUUCGUGGUCUUUAUCGUCCAAUAUUCCUCGAGCACCGACAUUUUCUUAGGAACUCAGAAAUUAAUCAUCGUUUAAGAGACGCUUUGCAUAUAAUUUCUUACUCAUUUCCUUCGAGUUUAACAUUUUGUAGAAAGCGUGAUAAUGGCCAGCGUCUUCUAGGUUUCCAAACAAUACAAUCUAAUUUCUGACUUAUAAUUGUCGUGUAAAAUAGCACGGGUUAAAAUUGGCCCAGUUCCGCAGACGAACUGUUAGGGGGUCAAAGGGGAAAAUAAGAGAGCGGCGAGCAGAUUUCCCCGAGCACUUUAUAACGCGACCAGUUCAAAUAUUCGUAAAGGAACGUCGACGAAUAAAAAUUCCACGUUUGUACGCGUCGAGGAACCGCGCUCUGUAAGCAACGCCGAGAGUCCUGAAUUAAUAUUAUGCUUCCUUAAUUAAAUAAAGCUCGCUCGCUGCUCCGAAAAGUUCGCGAUGCGCGUGGAACUUACCGUUAAUUAUGGAAUUCGUUGGUUCGGCGUUAUCGAAGCUUGCCGACGAUUCGAUCGCGGAGAAAUCAACUCUAGACUUCGAGAAUGUUGGAAAAGUAUCGCGAAUAGUAGAUACUAAUGAUAGUUUCCCGAAUGAGUUUCGUUAAUAAUUAAAAAACGAAGCAACAUCCGACAUUUUUGCAAAGGAAAUCGUGGUUCAGAAUCGUCUCAGCUACCCCCCAUUUCCGGUUCUACAUUCUCGACUUUCUCAAAUUUUGUAAGGCUUUUAUCUAUUACUAAAUAUUUAUUCCAACGCGGGGCUCGUUUCUGUCAUCACUGAGUUGGGAGGACUCGCGGUCUUUUUUGCUUUGAGGGUAAACAUAAUUCGCGACGUGCCUUUCCCUUCUCCCGCGGGGAAUCUCUCCCGCGGCGCCGCGAGCUUCUCGAACGCGUUUCUUACCUGAGUCUACAAAUUAUCUGGCGAAUGAAACUUUUAUGCGACAGUUUAAGACCUGGGGUAAUUCCGUCGUUGAUAAGCUGCCGCACAGACGAGCCGGGGGUUUGUAUUGCAGACGAGGAGGGCAGACUUUUAAUAAUACGCCGCGAUUUCGACGAUCUACACGUUCAAUUAUUCCAUUUACGAAGAUGUAACUAUUUCAUAUUAAUUGAAGUGGGUAGGAAAGUUUUAAAGUAAGAAGAGUGGUUGGGCAUUCAUUUUUCUACAGUGUUAAGAAAUGCAAAAAAUUCUGUAAAAUAAUUAGAAACGUGGGACGAAAAGGUAGAAAGCGUGUGGCACGAUGACUCAAAGGUUUAAUAAGAGGUCACCAGGACGCGGUUCUCCGAAAAAUGUUACAGUCGAAAUAUUACAAUCUCCAAAGUGGCGAAACGGGUGCUCUGGCGCCGCAACAAUGCCAAUUUUAGUUAGUCGAAAUAAUUGGGUCGCCUUCGUUGCGCUUCCCGUAGCUUUGGCCUCAUCUGGCCGCGCAACGCGGCAGAAAAGACGCGAAAUUCGUUCGUCGAAAUUCAAUUUUUCUCGCGGUGCACGGAACCGCGGCGUAGAAGAUGCCUUUCUGUCGCACAAUCAAGCGGGUACUACGUGUGCUCGAGCCCGUGCCCGUAACUUGCACGGACCUUUUUGUACCCCUCCGCCGACCGCCCCUUUCGCUUCUUAGUCUUUUUUACUUUUGAAAGCGAAAUACGCGAUAUGCAUUUCUUGCACGGGAAAAACAGCGGAGCCGCUUUUGUGCCGAACGACGACGUCAGUUGGGCGAGAGUCAGACCCGUGUCUCGUCUUCGGCGGCAGCCUUCUGAAAGUAAAACAAACGUUUUCGCAAUCACGGCCUUUGUGAUGGGAGCGAGGUUUUUUUUUCCUGGAGAAAAACUGGAGCGCGCCGAGAAUCCGUUUAUUCGAUGGAAGAAAAUACCUACGGGCCUGUGUACGUUCCCGAAGCGGUACGAAAGAGAUAUCAUUCAAGAAGAUUUUAUGAAUGGAAACAGCGACAUCGCCCGCCUAAUAGGAUUCCGUAUCGGAUCUGUGAGCCGUAGGUCUUGAAUAUUUCUGAUAGUCGUGCACGGGGCGACUCGAGAAACUGAGACAAACUGUAGCUCAUUUCUAGAAGAUACAAACAAUACAGGAAAAAGUAGAACGCGAUGUUGCGCUUCUUUUCCAAAUGUAACCGCGCGCCUUUUUGCCGUAGAUCGAUCCUUCUACUCAUUCUACGCGUAAAAGAACCAAGACCGUUGAAAACGUAACUCGCGAGUAAAAUAUACUAAUACCAGAAGGUGUUUUAUAGUUGAAAGGACUCGGAAAGGGGUCCCAAAGUACGGGACUUUGACGACCGAGGGUGGAUUGGCGAGCAAAUAGGAAAUGGCUUUCGUACGUGCUCGGGUGCUCGUUGCACGGUGCAACAGCGAUAUUUAUGGCGCAAUAAUAAUAUUUUACGCUCCUGCAGCGUCAUUAAUAACAAAUACUUUGCGAUUAUUUCAUGAUAUUAUACGCCGGUACGAAUGGUAUAAAUAAUAUACACGGCUGGGAAUUACCCGGCAACAAAAGGACCGUGAAAGGAGUCAAUUUAUGGAGCGAAAUUUCGCGAUUCUCCGCGACGAAAGAAUCGUCGACGGCUCCCGGAAUUCUGUGGCUACUAUCUCGUUAAACGAUCUCGCGGCCUUCCCAUCGCGGACUUACAAGCGAAUCGCUUUAUUCUACACGCGCGAUCCAAUUAAUUAAACGAAUUCGCUCGCGCACGUUUUAAUUAUAAUCUUGACCAACGGUGAAUGUGUUCGGGCGAUGUAACGCGCCGCGAAAUAAACCAUUAUCUCAAUAUAGUAUUAACUCAAUGGAUACAAACGAUGAAAGGUUUACAAUGGUCAUUGUGCAGAGGUAUUUAGUAAAUGAGGAAUAGAACAAUAUUAUGUGCUCGUCUCGUUUAUUGUUUCGGUCGAUUUCGAAUGGCGAAUUGUGACGCGAAUAUAGUCGACGUCGUUUAUCGAAUACGAUUUCAAUUCGAUUGACGGUUUAAACCACUGACAUGUUAUCCGAGUCAUUCCAAGUUUGUUAUUAAAUUAUGCGCCCAACGUAGCCGCAAUUUCACUGGCGAAAACAGUUUGGCUCUUGGUAAUAGGGCCCGGCAAUUUCAUAAACGACAUUUUAACGGUGCUGCCGCAUUUGGUUCGUUAAUUAUUCAUUUGACAUGGUAGGAUUUCUUGUUACCCAUCGCCGACGAUUAGUGGCCUUGUUCGUUUAUGCUGGAGGAACUUUUGAUUACGAUCCGUCUGCUCGUUUGUUUAAUAGGAAAAUGAACGAUCGCAAAAUUCGAUUCAAACACCAUAAAAUGUCUUGGAAUUUUGAAAAUUAAUAUCGAACAUCUGUCGCGUUGACGUAAUAUUCCCUCUACGUUUGAAUUGAUCCUCGUCGUCGUUCUGACAGUACUGACACCGUUAAUAUCCUGAAUAUUCAUGAUCCGAAACACGGAAUAUUCAAUAACAAACUGGGAAUCGUUUUCGAAAGCUAAUGCACAACUUUCCGGUAUGUUAAUAAUUUCGUAAAAUAUAAAUCCCAGAGCGCCGUCAAUCUCGUGCGCGCCAUUCCGACGCGUUAUCGAACGUUCGGUUUCAUUGCGAAGCGCGAAGGUUGAAAUUGCAAUAAAACGCAAUCAUGAAAAUAAAUAUACACUUUGCCACGGAAGUCUAAAACCGUUUCAUACAAAAUUGCCUCGAAGUGUUCUCUUCUCUGGAUUAAUGCACGACGAGGUCACGAACAUAAUUAAAAGUUAAUAAUAAAUGCCCAGCGACUGGUAUCGCGUUCACGCGACACGUAUCUUCGCAAAUCAGUGAACUUUAUGUCAUUUUCCAACCGAGCGUUACAUAUCUGGCAUCUGCAGCGACAAAACGGAUAUAAUUUUCGCGUAACGCGUUUUAACUUUUCCAACCGCGUAACGUUUUGUAAUUAGUCGGGCGGGCGCGUCGAAACGCGAGACCAUUCGACCGUCAUCCGCAGUUCAUCCCAUUUGCCAAGGAGAAAAAAAAAAUGAUAUUACCCAGAAAGAAUAUCGUUUACGUUGAAUUACAGCGAAAUGAAUGUUACGGGAUAUGAAUUUUAACGCGAGAGAAAGGCGACGGUUAAAAGGAUGGGAGUCCGCGGGGGAUGAAAAGCACGAGGAUGAGUGUGAUUAUGAAUGGAGCGAGGAAGAAUUAAUCAUCCGAGCUUUUGCGCGUCGAUAAUUGCAACGCGUUUAUGAGACUCGUCUCCGAUACGUACGUGGAGGGUGUAAUGGAUGUUGCGAAUCCGUUCACGAUUUACCGCAGCGCCAGCCACUGUAACCAACAAACCGUAAAUAUUUACGUACUCCAUUCCGUUUUUCCAGUAUUUCUUUUUCCGGGGGAUAAAAAAAAAUAUACACGCGGAAACUCGUACGCCCGCGUGACACCUGCGUUGAAAAGCGUUCGCGCGAUCCUCGUGUCCGCGACACAUGGAAUUCCAUUUGUAAGGUACACCAGGGAUGGGUAACCUUUUAUUCCGGUAAGUCUGGAUGGGCGAAUAAAUUCAAACGUACAGAAAUUUAGAUACAACGUUCAGCGAGACUGGUGAUUUCCCGUACGUUUACAUUUUCUAUC